AGUGAACGCUGGCGGUAGGCCUAACACAUGCAAGUCGAACGGCAGCACAGUAAGAGCUUGCUCUUACGGGUGGCGAGUGGCGGACGGGUGAGGAAUACAUCGGAAUCUACUUUUUCGUGGGGGAUAACGUAGGGAAACUUACGCUAAUACCGCAUACGACCUACGGGUGAAAGCAGGGGAUCUUCGGACCUUGCGCGAUUGAAUGAGCCGAUGUCGGAUUAGCUAGUUGGCGGGGUAAAGGCCCACCAGGGCGACGAUCCGUAGCUGGUCUGAGAGGAUGAUCAGCCACACUGGAACUGAGACACGGUCCAGACUCCUACGGGAGGCAGCAGUGGGGAAUAUUGGACAAUGGGCGCAAGCCUGAUCCAGCCAUACCGCGUGAGUGAAGAAGGCCUUCGGGUUGUAAAGCCCUUUUGUUGGGAAAGAAAAGCAGCAGGUUAAUACCCCGCUGUUCUGACGGUACCCAAAGAAUAAGCACCGGCUAACUUCGUG
rnacentral:rRNA from 1 species